GGUUACAUAACAUAACCCGCUACAUUCAGUCAGUAGGUAGCGCAACUCGGAUAAACCAUCUGACUGAGCUUUUACUUGCACGUGCAUGUGCAUUAGGUGGGGUGAGCCCGUGUGCCUCCCCACGCCCCCAUCUUUCAUCCCAGUCCUCCCAUAGGUUCCGCGCAAAGCUCGCACCAAAAUGCCCAGCAAGAGGAAGAAGAACAAGCGUCGCAUGAGGAGGGUGCAAGCCCAGAGGAGAGCCCUCGAAGAGCAGCAUGCUGCCAACACGCCGGUCAAAGCAAGUCGGGGGAUCGCAGUGAGUGCGCCCCCUGCAGCAACUCCAAAGAAAGCUGCUAAAACGCCAGCACCAGCUCCGGAGAAGAUCCCACAGGCCGUUCCCAUUGUGGAGACCCCCAAAGUAGAACCAAAACCAGCAGCUGUGAAAGAACCCGUUGUUGAGCCCAUCCCAGCUGUGGUAGCAGUACCAGGGCCCAAGGUUGUGCAGCUGAAAGUUUUUGCAGAGGAAGUUGAGGUUCAAGUCCUACCAGCCGUCACAGAAGAAACACCAGUCGUUGAAGCUCCACCAGUGGAGCCCCCUACAGUUGAAGCUGCUGUAGUACAGGAGGCCAAACUCAUCAUUCCUGAAACUGAACCAGUUACUGAGGUCAUACCCCCAGCUGAGGCUCCAGUGGUGGCUCCUGCUGAGAUUGAGAUUCAGACAGCUGAUGCAACAGUCAUAAAGACAGAGACUGAACAGAUGCUUGACGUCUGUGAGCCAGAGGCUGUGGAAGUGGAAGCCGAAGCCUUGACAGAGGAAAACGCUGUGGCUAAGGAGGAGGAAGAAGAAGUGGAGGUGGCCGUCUCAGAGGACAUCACAAUUCCUGAAACAGUAGCUGCUGAAGAGCAAGUGGUAGAAGCUGAGCAAGUUGUUGUGUCUGCUGAAGUGGAGCCUGCUGCCCACGAGGUGGUUACAGAUACUGUCGUUGAGGUUGUCACUGAAAUUUCUGAGCCUGAACAAGAAGUGACUGAGCCAGCCGCUGCAGCCCCAGCUGAGGAGGAUGAAGGUGAAGUGGACGUGGUGGCUGAAGAAGAGGCACCUGAAGUCCCUGCAGAGCCCGAUGCAACCACAGAGGAUGCUCCCAUCCAAUAUGUGGAAAUCCCAGUGGUGGCAGACACCAUCUCAGAGGCUCCAGUAGAAGAGGCUGCAGCCCCUCUUACUGAAGCCACAGAGGUCAUUGCUGACACACUGGUCGAUGACUUUGUAGUCACAGAACCUCUCUCAGCUGUAGAAGUCGCCAUUGCUGAGUCUGCUGCUGUCCAGCAGGAGAUUGUGGUCAUGAACGACACCCUCAGCACCAUAACAGAAUCUACAGAUGUGACUCCUCCUGAGCCUGAGCCUGCUGCUGCCCCUGCAGAGGAAAUGGUCACUGAUGUUACUGCUGAGCAGACCUGUCUGGAUAUGCUGUCAGAAGAGCCCAAGUCAGAAAUAUGUGACAUGCCAUGUCAGAUGCAGCUUGCGGUGGAGACUGCGGAGAUGUCAGUGGAGACGGGGCUGAAUGCACACAUCGUUCCAGAGGUCUCGAUCGAGGGCUAGACACAAGACUCCAAAGAUUUUUCCUUUGUUCUUUAUUCCCUUUGGGUCAUUUGGAGGACUCAAAACGCCACCAGCUGACCUUUUUCAUUUUUUAAGGCUUAGAGCAGAACCAGCCAGGAAAUAGAAGGGACAUCCACACUUUGAAGUGCCUUUCCUGCUCCGGUUCUGCUUUCUGUUAUAGCAUCAAACCAGAUGUCAACAUGCAACAAAGAAAUGCUGCUUUCACUGCAGCAGAAGAGACUGACGGCUCCUUUUUAAUCUCCCCCCCCCCCCCCAAAAAAAAAAAAAAACUAUGUUCGGUGAAUUUGUAUUAGUGGUGGAGGCAGAGGUGCUCGAGAGAUGAUGACUGCUUGAGAUAAACCGCAGUGUGUGAUGCUUUCCAGUCUGCCUCCACACUGCAUACUCCCAAUACAUGUGAAUGUUGUAGCAUCAGUGAAUACGCCCAUAGCUGGGCCUUUGUACACAUUUGUUUUGUUUAUUUUUUACUUGUUCUAAAUUCACAGAUUCUCCUCACCAGGGUCUUUUAUACCUUCAAAGACACACACACACAUAUAGACCCCCCUUUGCCUCCUUGCCUGUUACCUCUGUCUGUCACCUCUGAUGCUAACACUUACAUCUUAAGGCUAGUUUGAAGGGGAUGAGUUCAGAGGUAAAUUUCUGUAUUGUGUUUUCCACUUUUUCCUUUUGUAAUUCAUUUUGUAUAGACCUUAUGAUGCGCUACAGUUUUGUGUUCAAAGCCUGUGCUACGGAGUGGGGAUUAGAGUUGGGCUGAUGAUGGGCUAAGAUCACCUUUGAAAUAAAGCUGUAACACAUCAUGAUAUAAGAGUACUU
ensembl:lncRNA dihydrolipoyllysine-residue acetyltransferase component of pyruvate dehydrogenase complex-like